rnacentral:lncRNA from 1 species
GGCGCGCGCAUGCGCGGACGGGCGGGCGACCGCGCAGCAGUCGGCGCCGCGUCCUCGCCUCGGUUUCCCUCUCUCCAGAAGCGGGGCCCGAAGGCCGCCGAGCCGUGCGCUCCUCCCCGAGGGGCGGGGAGGCGGCCACUCCGGAGGCCCCGGGUUUCCCGGGGCGCGGUGCCGGGGUCCCCUGGCCCCCCAGGGGCGAAAGCGGAGAAAGGCCGCCCGGCGCGGGGGCGCCUGUGCGCUCCGGGAGGAGACGGAGCAGCCCCCGGUCCCGGGCGCUCCCGGGCGCUCCCGGCGCGUCAGCCCCUGCAUGGAAGGGGCCGGGCACCUGCUCUUCCGCCCGCCUCCUGGAACCCGCGGCGCCCUCGGCCUUCAGCCCCGCGGCCCCGCCUCCGCCCGCCUCGUCCCCCCUGCCGGGCGCUGAGCGCAGGUCGAGGCUGCGGAGGGUGCUGGUUUCCUCGGCUCUCCCUCCCUCUCGGCCAGACGCCCGGUCCUGAAAAUGAUUCAGUGGGUGGCGACCAGCGUUGUAGAAAAAGGCAGCAGGGGGACACGGGAACGGACCGCGUGCCACGGAGUGACAGGUCCCUGUGGAGUGUAUUUCUUGCAGCUGAAAUCUUCAGGUUGCUCUGUGCCGGCUGAGCCCUGGAGCCAGCAGCGUUGCGGUCAGCUCCUACCCUCCAGUCCUCCAGGCCUGCCCUGGACAGCCAACAACCACGGUGACAGACCCCUCCCAUCCCCAGAACAAGGAGCAUCUUCAGCUUCCUCCCCUGCCCCACAGGGGCUCCAGCCCUUCCCAGCCUGACGCAGUCAGGGGGAUGUCACCCCAAAUCUCUCAAGGUUGAGGAAUUAAUAGAAAUAAGGGGGGAGGGAGUAUAACCUCGGACCAAAGUAUAUUAUUUUAUUUUGUGUUAAUGGAGUAACUUGUAAUAUUGGUAUUUAAAAAACAAAAAUAAAAUAGAAAGUACGCUGGUGGAACAAGCCGCUCUCCUCAGCCAGGAUCGGGCGCUGGCCAGG